rnacentral:rRNA from 1 species
GUGGGGAAUCUUAGACAAUGGGCGCAAGCCUGAUCUAGCCAUGCCGCGUGAGUGAUGAAGGCCUUAGGGUUGUAAAGCUCUUUCAGCUGGGAAGAUAAUGACGGUACCAGCAGAAGAAGCCCCGGCUAACUCCGUGCCAGCAGCCGCGGUAAUACGGAGGGGGCUAGCGUUGUUCGGAAUUACUGGGCGUAAAGCGCACGUAGGCGGAUCAGAAAGUCAGAGGUGAAAUCCCAGGGCUCAACCUUGGAACUGCCUUUGAAACUCCUGAUCUUGAGGUCGAGAGAGGUGAGUGGAAUUCCGAGUGUAGAGGUGAAAUUCGUAGAUAUUCGGAGGAACACCAGUGGCGAAGGCGGCUCACUGGCUCGAUACUGACGCUGAGGUGCGAAAGCGUGGGGAGCAAACAGGAUUAGAAACCCGGGUAGUCC